UGUUUAGAAUUUUCAGAAAUAUAUAACAACGACAUCGCAGGGACAGUGCUUCAGUGGUUUGGGUCGUACCUCUCAAACAGGUCACAGGCAGUCUAAUUGGUGAU